GGUCCAGUCAAUUUGAAGGCUUUGGCCUGAUCUUUAGAGGAGGCCCGAGGUUUCUUUCAGAUAUAUUUUGAGAACCCCGAUGUUUGGCAUCAUCCUGAUCAAGAUCUUAGAGAGAAUUAGAUUACAAAUCUAUUCAUCGGGCCUUCUAGGCAUUUGCUCAUAGGACGCUUCAUAACUCCAUUUGCCAUUAAGGUCGGGGAGCCCUUCGAGAGAACACACUAGGAAGUCAC
rnacentral:lncRNA from 1 species